rnacentral:rRNA from 1 species
CCUACGGGAGGCAGCAGUGGGGAAUAUUGCGCAAUGGGCGAAAGCCUGACGCAGCGACGCCGCGUGAGGGAUGAAGGUCUUCGGAUCGUAAACCUCUGUCAGCAGGGAAGAACGGUCACGGGGCUAAGCAGCAGUGAAUGGACGGUACCGGCAAAGGAAGCACCGGCGAACUCCGUGCCAGCAGCCGCGGUAAUACGGAGGGUGCGAGCGUUCAUCGGAAUGACUGGGCGUAAAGCGCUCGUAGGCGGUAUGUAAAGUCAAGGGUGAAAUCCCCGCGCUCAACGUUGGAACUGCCUUUGACACUUGCAACCUGGAGUGUGUGAGAGGCUAGUGGAAUUCCCGGUGUAGGCGU